GUCUGCCAGAAGCCAGGCGAUCUGGUCAUGUGCAACCAGUGUGAGUUUUGUUUCCACCUGGACUGUCACCUGCCGGCCCUGCAGGAUGUACCAGGGGAGGAGUGGAGCUGCUCACUCUGCCAUGUGCUUCCUGACCUGAAGGAGGAGGAUGGCAGCCUCAGCCUGGAUGGUGCAGACAGCACUGGCGUGGUGGCCAAGCUCUCACCAGCCAACCAGCGGAAAUGUGAGCGUGUACUGCUGGCCCUAUUCUGUCAUGAACCCUGCCGCCCCCUGCAUCAGCUGGCUACCGACUCCACCUUCUCCCUGGUGAGUCCUAGGAUGGGAAAGGGGAAGGGGGU
rnacentral:sRNA from 1 species